CCCCCACCUUACUGAUUUACAGAUUAAAAAUACCAGUUCUGAAGCAGAGACAGAAUAUUGGAUGGAUUAUGUUAAAGACAGGCCUACGAAUGACUUGGGAUAUCCAAUGAAUUCUGGAAAAAUGCACAGCUUGGGCUGGAGACCUAAAGUGCCUUGGAAUGAAGGAAUAAAGAAAACCAUUGAAUGGUAUCAAGAAAACUUCCACAACUGGAAGAAUGCGGAGAAAGCUUUGGAGCCUUUUCCUGUUGCUGAAGAAUCUGUAUGAUUUAGUCCGCGGCAAAGCUGUGAAGAAAAAUAAUAAUGAAGGAAAACAUUCUACCUCAAGAUCAUCACAUUAAUGAAAAACUGUACUCAAGCAGCAAAAUGGGAUUGUAUUCAUGGAAUGUCAACUAUCAAUAAUAUCAAGAAAGACAAUGGAGUACAAUUUUACAGUAUGGGCUGUAAGGGCUAACGCCUUUUAAUCAGCAUUCCAGUGCAAUAUUGAAGCUUUAAUAUUUUUCUAUAAAAAUAAUAAUUGAAUUGGAGCAAUUUUUAUUAAAUAAUGCACUUUUUAAUACAACUGUUUUGCAUUUUAAUUAUUUAUUAAUGUAUUGUAUUGACAGGGUUAUAGUUUUUUUACAACCCAGGCAGCAGAUUUUGGUUCAGGAGUAUUUUCUGCUUUUUGUAGUUGUAUCUUCCUGUCCCAGAAGUCUAUGCUUGGCCACGUGCUUGUUUUAAAAUACUGUCAUAUCAUGUAUCCUCAACGAUCUGGUAAGGAAAUCUGUCUCUCGUUGCUCUACAGAAAUUGAGCUUUGUAGACAGCCAAAGACUUCCCUGAACUCAAGAAUACAGUAUAGAAACCUGCCCUCAUGCCAAAUAUUUAUCAUUUCUAAUAGCUUCUUUCAAUUUUUUUUUGAAGAAUAACAGUGCUUCCAAAUUUAAUUUGCCUUUCUUGUUGCAUAAAAGUAUUUUAACUCUAUGAACAUGUGAAAUUAUGUGAACAAUAUUAAAAUGUAAGACUACGUUAAAUGUAGGACACAUA